ACCUGCAGCAGGGAGGGAGGAAAGGAAGUGGUGUCCCGAGGGGCCAGGGCCCUUGGCAUGGAGCUUAUCCCAUAAAUGCUUUUGGACCUAUCUACAGGAAACUCCUGGAGAAGGUCACUGCCAGAGCUGGCUGCUGAGCAGAGUGUUCCUGAGAGCCCAGGCAGUCAGUCAGGGCAGGCAGAACCCAGGAAAAUAUAUCUUCAAGCUGUGGUGCUUAGGAAUUCAUCUGCUCUACACUCUUUUGGCUAAAUCGGGGAAUCCAAGCCUGCAAAAAGCUCCAGUCUUUUGAGAGGUACUGAGGAUGUUCUGGCACAGAAACUCAUCUUCAGUGCCUUUCACUGGGGAGUAUCUGGGUAAGGUCUGGCAGGUCACGAGUAAGAAUGGAUGCAGAGGUCACAGCUGCUGCAAAGGCUGCCACAUGUUUUCCAGCUGCCUGCUGAAUCCAGGAGGUGGUACCAGGAAAUUGCAGUCAUUGUCUCUGCCACAUUCCUGGAAUCCCUUCAGCAAACUGCGAUGCCAAAGCUCCAAGACUGGAUGGAUAAUACCAGAUCCACUGAAGCCCCAGAGUGGUUCAGAACAAGGCUUUGAUCUUUGAGGUGCUGGUGACCUGUAAGAGGAGCAGGAGCAGGGCACCAAGUAAGCCCGCAUUCACUGGAGCCAUGAAUUCUCCUCUGUACAUUGAAAUAAAUGUAUUUUUUUAAAAUAUUGCCUUUGACAGGCUUGCCUGAGUCAUAUGAUGGUCUAAGUUAAGGGGAUAAAUAAUGAGCAUUGUCAUACUGAAGUUUUAUGACUGAUAGAAAACUUGGAAUUUAAAAAAAACCCUCAAGAAUUGUCUUUAUUACUCAGUCUAUGCCUUCACCUUUACUCUGAAAAAAUACAAGGAAUUCAUCUUUUCUGUAAAAGAAAAUGUCAUCAUUAAUACAAUCAUCUCCUUUUCCCCAUCACCUUUAUACCUUGAACUGUGUCAUUCCACGCUUGGUUGAGAAUUUUGGUGAACAGCAGUUAAUAAGCCCAGCAAGCAUAAGAACACCUUAAAUGAGAUCACCUACUUGGAAGGGGAAGGAGAAUCUGUAAAACUGCAAUUAUACUUCAAAUGAUGCUUUCAAGACCCACAGUUAAAAUGAAUCAUUAAUAAACUAUUUUUUCCAGUUGUACCAAAAAUCACCGGAAUUUUGAAUGCAAGGUAGCAAAAGGUCUUUGGUUAUAAACAAACUUCGUGUUUUCAGACCAAAGCACAGUUCCCUCAUUUUUCCAGCAUCUUCUUUGGGUACAACAGAGAUGGCUCAUUAUGCUGGUAUAGUUUAUGUGAUGGAGGGUGAUGUUUGUACCAGCAGUACAGAGGCUUUAUUUCCAGAAAAAAAUAAUGUGUCAACCAUACCUGCUCAUCAGAGAAACCUGAAGAGCUCAAACCCCAACCCGUAGUGCUUGCAUUUCUGUCUGCAGAACAUCAGCUACCAAAAUCCACACAGAUCUGCUCUCAGACAAAAGACAGGCAGGGCUGCUCCCUGUGCAGGGAUCAGCCCAGGAAGACUGAAGGUGAUUAAUUAGGAGCUGAGAGAGGAAACUUCUCAGAAACUUCAGAAACUGGUGCUGCUUAAUGAACCUGUUUGAUACCAAACACAAGACUGCUGGUGGACCAAGCCUGAAGACUCAGCUACUCAUCAUUCUGAACUGGCUUGGCUUUUGGAAGGACUCCACUGACAGACAGGGAAAACAGAGAACCACCACAAAGUAAGAAAAGGAAAGAAAUGGAGGAAACUGAACCAUGGAAUCUGCCAAGUUGGAAGGGAUCAUUCAGUCCAGCUCCUGGCCCCAACAGUCCCACCCUGUGCCUGACCAGAGCAGUGUCCAAACACUCCCUGAACUCUGUCAGGUUUGGUGGUGUUACCGCUGCCCUGGGAAACCUGUUCCAGUGCCCAAUCACCCUCUGGGGGAAGAACCUUUUCCUCACACCCAAACUAAACCCGGAAACCCUGACCCAGCUUCCAGCUUCAGGUCCUGUCACUGGUCAGCAGAGUGAAAAGAUCAGUGCCUGCCCAUCCUCUUCCCCUCCUGAGGAUUCUGAAGACCCCAACGAGUCUCC